UACGUAGGAGGCAAGCGUUGUCCGGAUUUACUGGGCGUAAAGAGCGUGUAGGCGGUAGCGCAAGUCUGCUGUGAAAUCUCCUAGCUCAACUAGGAUAGGUCAGUGGAAACUGCGCAGCUUGAGGACGGUAGAGGGGGGUGGAAUUCCCGGUGUAGUGGUGAAAUGCGUAGAGAUCGGGAGGAACACCAGCGGCGAAGGCGGCCCCCUGGGCCGCUCCUGACGCUGAGACGCGAAGGCCAGGGUAGCGAACGGG
rnacentral:rRNA from 1 species